CAAGAGGGGUGCUCGGGCGUUUGCCCUUGCUGAGAUCAUACCCAUAACACCUGAUUCGGAUAAUGCCGGCGUAGGGACUGCAGA
rnacentral:ncRNA from 1 species